AUCAAUGUCAACAUUUGUAAUUAAGUCCACAGUGACGUCUUUAUCAGGACGUCACAGCACAAAUUUCCUGUUCUCCAAGAACUAUAAAGGAGGAUGCUGGGAGAGGCAGGUCCUUAAAAUUGUUGUUUCUAACAGGAGCAAGGUAGCCAAGCACAGGAAACCUAUCUGGGUCAGCCGCACACUAUGGGAGGCUCGUGUGCGUGUCUUUUCUGUACGAUACUGUGUGCCACAGGACUACUUUACGGCUGCGGUCACGUCCAAGCAGAGGAAUAUGAAACUAAAUAUUUUACUUAUUUUACUACCAAAGAGGAUGGCAAUGAAAAGCAGCUGAUCAGUGAUUUACACGACGUUUUGGAAAGACUUCAGAACCAUCCGUUUCCAGUUCUAAGAAAAAAGCAUGGCUAUCUCCCUGUGUGUGAUCCAGGAGAGCAGUGUGCACUAAGGAAAGGAUCCCGGAUCGGAAAACUAUGUGACUGUUCUUUGCCAAGAACAUGCAACUCUUUUCUACACCGCUGUUUAUGAUUCUCUGCACCUGCAAGAAACUUUUUAAACACUGUAAAAGCAAAAGGAGGGGAAAACACUUCAGAUGUAUUUUAAGCUAUAGUACAUUCUUCAGUGUUCUUUUCUCACAUGUUUACUAAACAAAUGUAAUAUUUAAUCAUUUAAAAUUCAGCGCUGAGAGCUGAUCUAUUAAAUACUUUGUUAUUUGUGUACUUGUGUGUCCACUGAC